ACGUUUGUUCCUCAAAAUCUCCUCCAACCAAUCCUCUCUCAGAAAAUAAACCUCCCCGACGAUUUCGAUUCUUCAAAUGAUUUUUCCGUCGAAACCUCCCGUCUUUUCCAACGAGUAUUGUUACUUCCCAACCGACAAAGGCCAUUUCUUCCCAGCAAAUACUCAAUCCACAAAAGUCGGUCGAGUUUUCACAGCCGACAACCGCCGUCAAAUCCACCACCAUCUCGAAGAAGCACUGUCGCCUUGUCCAGCCGCCGUUCCCAAAUUUACCAGCCAACGUUCCCGAAAUCAAUUGUCGCCGAAGAAUACAAGUUGAACCAACAUGCACCUGUCAUAAUCAAAUGCAAAUGUUAGUUUUCUUUCAUUUUCUCUGAUUCCUUUGUUUUCAUUCUUGUCCUCUAGAUCUCCGAUUACGGACGAGUUUCUGAUUGGUUCUUUAACCUACAUAUAUAUAUUCAUUAUUGUUCUCUAGAUUUCCAAUUCCAUACGAGGUUCUGAUUGGUUCUUUAACCUAUAUAUAUGUACUAAGAUUUUGCAUGUUGAUCCUUAUUUAUGCAUUGGAACAGUAAUAGCUCAAUAUUAAUCAAUUCCACCAUUAUGAUUUUGAUCCCCGUUUCUUUUUUCGAUUUGUUAGCUGUCGAAUUUGAAUUUGCUGCCAAAAUCUAUUUUGAGUUGUUGAAUUUGUACAGACAUGUACUUAUUGUAGAUGGUACCCAUUGUUACAGAAUGGCUGCAUAGGUAAUGAUUGUUACAUAAACCUAGAAUGAGCCGAAGAUUGUAUUGGUUGGUUCAUGUAAUCACUUGGUACGUGCUGUCUCAUUGUAUAUAUUAAUGGUCUUAUAUGUGUUGGUUAUGUUGAACAGGUUUUAGUGACUUUAUUUGCUCUGAAUCUGUUGUUGGGUUUGGCGGAACUGCACUUGAAAGCUACAUUAGCUUGAAAGAUUGAUGCUUUGAAAUCAAUUGGGUUUGGUGGAACUACAGCGGUACAAAUUGGUUUGAUGUGUGAGGAGUUCAACCGGUGGGCCGUAAAAGCUUACAAUGCUGGAAUAAAUUUCUUUUACUUCAUAGGGGCGACAUUCUUACGACAACUACAAAAGAUGUGGAAAGAGUGUAUGGCAUAACAUAAACAUUAUGUUCCAUAAAUGAACUGCAAGUACAAUCUAUAACUAUUUAUUUAAAACAAUGGAUUUGAAAUGUUAUAAAUUAAAUUAUAUCCUAUUUUUGAAUUAUUAGUAUUGAUUGUACCAAGGAGAUGAAACAGGAACGUAACAAACCUGAUGCUGGUUUUUGAUCAA
rnacentral:lncRNA from 1 species